rnacentral:rRNA from 1 species
CUUGUAGGCGGCCAACUAAGUCCGACGUGAAAUCCCCAGGCUCAACCUGGGAACUGCGUCGGAUACUGGAUGGCUUGAAUUCGGGAGAGGGAUGCGGAAUUCCAGGUGUAGCGGUGAAAUGCGUAGAUAUCUGGAGGAAUACCGGUGGCGAAGGCGGCAUCCUGGACCGAGAUCGACGCUGAAAAGCGAAAGCCAGGGGAGCAAACG